ACUACCCUUAAACCUAAUUUUAUCAUAAUCCUAAUCCCAAAUUGGGAAAAACCCUAACCUUGAAACCCUACCCGGUUACCCGUUCUUCCCGUAUGUCCCAGCAGCCACAACACACACGGUUUCCCCAAAGUGAAUGAAAGAAAGAAAGAAGGGGCAAGUAGGGGAAGGGGCCGCGGAGGAAGGGAGGAAGAAAGGAAGAAGGCCGUGCUGGCGUGCUAAGCUGCACUGCCACCACCGUGUCACCGCCGACCCAUGAAGCUGCCGCCAGAACUGCGUGAAGGACAGAGGGAAUCCGAGAAAGAAGGAGAGCGCCAGAAGAGGGAGGAGCUCGUGCCCUCCUCGCGAAUCGCCGCUGCCUCGCGUCGUUAUCCUCGCCGUGAAUCCCGUUGACCCUGUUGCAGCCGUCUGCGCCGUCAUCCUUGCCACGAAGACAGCACCGCCGUUGCCAUCGUUGCACGAGGAAAGGAAGAGGCUCACAGUGGAGAACAUGACGCGAAGAGAGGACGGAGCAUGAGAGGGAGACAAAGGCCGCAUUAGAGUUGUUCUGCCGCCUACGCCGUGCCCUACCACCGUCGCCGAGCUUCCAUAGCUGCCGCGUUUCACCGCGGUUGAGGGCGUCUCCACCACCGCAUGUUGGCCGACGAUAUUGCCGAUCUGCUGCUCCGCAGUGCCUAGCUGGAGCUUCUGUUGCUGUUGCCGGAGAUCGGUGGUUGCCGAAAAAUACCACUGUUGUUGCUGUUGAAGGAGGGAGAAGCCGUGCCGCUGUUCUGGCCGCUAGGAGGAGUCUCUUGGCCACUAGAAACACCACCGGGGAUGCCGUUACUUGGCUCAGUCACUUCUUCUUGGUUGCGCCAUCGUCUGGGUCGCGUGGAGGGAGAAAGAGCCACUGGGUGUUGCCGCACCUGGCCUCCGCCGCCUCUGUCACCAGAAACAGCCACCGAGUCCUCUAUUUUGGGUUGUGGUUUUGUGCUUGCAUUUUUGUGCUCGGAGUUUGCAGCUGCCUUGUUUUGUCAUUCCAGAUUUAGCAACCGAGGUUGCUUGUUGUGAUUUAGAGCUAUUUAUGCUGGCACGAAAGUGUGUGGGGCUGUGCUUUGAAGCUGCAGUUGAUUUUGGGUCGAGACGAAAGGCUUUCGGAGAGGCAUUUGGGUUAUGGUUUCAAUUUGUCGAGUUUCCUUGAGAUAUGAAAAUGAGGUGACUGUUGGAUUUAGCUUGCUCUUGAACUGAUUUGGAUUUGGACCGUUGAAAAGGAUUGUGGAACGGUUUAGUUGGGACCCGAACCGGGUGGCAAAGUCCAAGUUUUAGGAGAGGUGCUGCCGAAAUUCCGAUAAAUUCUGGGAUUUUAUUAAAAUGCUAUUUGGAAGAUUAUGAGUUAAACACUUCUACUAUUUUAUUUGAAUUAUUAAGAAGGGGAUGACUUAUGCUUUUGAAAUGAAUUAUUAAAAAGGAAGUUGUGAUU